rnacentral:piRNA from 1 species
AUGAGGGGCAUGUAUGGUCAAAG